CGCCACCACCACGGGGCUCACGUCGCUCAUCUUGCCGGGCUGCAGGCUGCUGGAAGGCGGGCUGAACCUCCGGCUGGUGCUGGGAUCUACGGGAAUACGCAUCACAACAGCCACAAGUUCUAUACUGGUGUUACAUCUGUUGAGCAAGGAGAGUGCCAUGCCUCAGCCGGAGGAUAAUCUGGACCACCCUCCCUGUUACUGAGCGAAGCCCAAGACCUGACUGGAUCUGAGGAUGAGGAGGAGUCAGGAUUCUCAGAUCAGAUGGCCUGGAGGUCAUCCCUUGCUCAGCCUCAGAAGUCGACGCCGAUUGGCCCCUGAGCCCCUACACUCUGUGAGGUGAGUGGGGCUGAGAGACUUCAGAGAAGUGUG